CUCUUAAAGCUGUUCUCAGUUCGGACUGCAGUCUGCAACUCGACUGCACGAAGCUGGAAUCGCUAGUAAUCGCGGAUCAGCACGCCGCGGUGAAUACGUUCCCGGGCCUUGUACACACCGCCCGUCACACCAUGGAAGUCUGCAAUGCCCGAAGCCGGUGGCCUAACCACUUAUGUGGAAGGAGCCGUCUAAGGCAGGGCAGAUGACUGGGGUGAAGUCGUAACAAGGUAUC
rnacentral:rRNA from 1 species